rnacentral:rRNA from 1 species
UACAGAGGGUGCAAGCGUUAAUCGGAAUGACUGGGCGUAAAGGGCGUGUAGGCGGUAGUGUAAGUUAGAUGUAAAAUCCCUGGGCUCAACCUAGGAAGGUCAUCUAAAACUGCAGUACUAGAGUAUGGGAGAGGAAAGUGGAAUUUCCGGUGUAGCGGUGAAAUGCGUAGAUAUCGGAAGGAACACCAGUGGCGAAGGCGGCUUUCUGGCCUAAUACUGACGCUGAGGCGCGAAAGCGUGGGGAGCAAACAGG